AGUUAAAUACAUUGGAUUGUAACGUAUUUUGACCAAAGAAACACUAACAAAGCUAUUGACUGCUUCUAUGCAAUGUUUUGUUGGUUUUAUCAUCUUUUGGGAGAAAAUGGGUAUAAGUGUUGUCUAAACACUCCUAAUCCAUCUCUAACUCAUAUAAUUAUUCAAAUGCAUUGGAUUAUGACACAUUCUAACCAAAGAAACACUAACAACGCUAUUGACUGCUUCUAAGCAAUGUUUUGUUGGUUUUAGCCUCUUUUUGGACAAAAUAGGUAUAAGUGUUGUCUAAACACUCCUAAUCCAUCUUUAAGUCUUAUAAUUAGUUAAAUGCAUUAGAUUGUGACACAUUUUGACCAUAGAAACACUAACAAGGCUAUUGACUACUUCUCACCAAUUUUUUAUUGGUUUUAGCCUCUUUUGAGAGAAAUGGGUGUAAGUGUUGUCUGAACACUCCUAAUCCAUCUCUUAUUCUUUUAAUUAGUCAAAUGCAUUGGAUUCUGACACAUUUUAACCAUAGAAACACUAACAAGGCUAUUGAAUGCUUCUCAGCAAUUUUUUUGUUGGUUUUAACCUCUUUUGGGAGAAAUGGGUGUAAGUAUUGUCUAAACACUUCUAAUCCAUCUCUAACUCUUAUAAUUAGUCAAAUGCAUUAGACUGUGACACAUUUUGACCAUAGAAACACUAACAAAGCUAUUUAGUGCUUCUAAGCAAUGUUUUGUUGGUUUUAACCUCUUUUGGGACAAAUUGGAUAUAAGUGUUGUCUAAACACUCCUAAUCCAUCUCUAACUCUUAUAAUUAGUCAAAUGCAUUGGAUUGUAACAUAAAAACUAACAAAGUUCUUUGCUGCUUCUAAGCAAUUUUUUGUUGGUUUUAUCCUCUUUUGGGACAAAAUGGGUAUAAGUGUUGUCUAAACACUUUUACACCAUCUCUAACUCUUAUGAUUAGUCCAAUGCAUUGGAUUGUGACACAUUUUGACCAUAGAAACAGUAACAAAGCUAUUGACUGCUUCUAAGAAAUGUUUUGUUGGUUUUAGCCUCUUUUGGGACAAAAUGGGUAUAAAUGUUCUCUAAACACUCCUAAUUUAUCUCUAACUCUUAUAAUUAGUCAAAUGCAUUGGAUUGUGACACAUUUUGACCAUAGAAACACUAACAAAGCUGUUUAGUGCUUCUAAGCAAUGUUUUGUUGGUUUUAUC
rnacentral:sRNA from 1 species